rnacentral:rRNA from 1 species
UACGGAGGGUGCAAGCGUUGUCCGGAUUCAUUGGGCGUAAAGGGUGCGUAGGCGGCGCGGUAAGUCGGGUGUGAAAUCUCGGGGCUUAACUCCGAAACUGCAUUCGAUACUGCCGUGCUUGAGGACUGGAGAGGAGACUGGAAUUUACGGUGUAGCGGUGAAAUGCGUAGAUAUCGUAAGGAAGACCAGUGGCGAAGGCGGGUCUCUGGACAGUUCCUGACGCUGAGGAGCGAAAGCGUGGGGAGCGAACAGG